rnacentral:rRNA from 1 species
GACGAACGCUGGCGGCGUGCUUAACACAUGCAAGUCGAACGGUAAGGCCCUUCGGGGUACACGAGUGGCGAACGGGUGAGUAACACGUGGGUGAUCUGCCCUGCACUUCGGGAUAAGCCUGGGAAACUGGGUCUAAUACCGGAUAGGACCCUGGGAUGCAUGUCCUGGGGUGGAAAGCUUUUGUGGUGUGGGAUGGGCCCGCGGCCUAUCAGCUUGUUGGUGGGGUGAUGGCCUACCAAGGCGACGACGGGUAGCCGGCCUGAGAGGGUGACCGGCCACGCUGGGACUGAGAUACGGCCCAGACUCCUACGGGAGGCAGCAGUGGGGAAUAUUGCACAAUGGGCGCAAGCCUGAUGCAGCGACGCCGCGUGAGGGAUGACGGCCUUCGGGUUGUGAACCUCUUUCAGCACCGACGAAGCGCAAGUGACGGUAGGUGCAGAAGAAGGACCGGCCAACUACGUGCCAGCCGCCGCGGUAA